GCCUUCAUGAAGCUGGAAUUGCUAGUAAUGGCAGGUCAGCAUACUGCCGUGAAUACGUUCCCGGGCCUUGUACACACCGCCCGUCACACCAUGAGAGUUGGGAAUACCCGAAGCCUGUGAGCUAACUUAUAGAGGCAGCAGUCGAAGGUAGAAUCAAUGAUUGGGGUGAAGUCGUAACAAGGUACC
rnacentral:rRNA from 1 species